UACGGAGGGUCCGAGCGUUAAUCGGAAUUACUGGGCGUAAAGCGCGCGCAGGCGGGUUGUUAAGCGAGAUGUGAAAGCCCCGGGCUUAACCUGGGAAUUGCAUUUCGGACUGGCGGACUAGAGUACUUUAGAGAGGGGUAGAAUUCCAGGUGUAGCGGUGAAAUGCGUAGAGAUGUGGAGGAAUACCGGAGGCGAAGGCAGCCCCCUGGAAAAAGACUGACGCUCAUGUGCGAAAGCGUGGGGAGCAAACAGG
rnacentral:rRNA from 1 species